GCCCCUAAUUUGAUCUUGGUGGGUCAGCUAAAGAGGCUUUGUAUUAGCAAACAUCAUGAACGAGAAGCCACAGAAGCAAAAGAAACAGCUGUUAUUGAUGGAGACUACAAGAAACUGGGCCCAAUAAACUACGUCUCUGACGCAGUAACUGGAGUCAUCAUCAUCUCCAUCCUCUUUUUCUUUCCAACCCAGCAUCCUUCUCUCCACUGGUGGUUCGAUUAAAGAGACUCAAAUACAUCAUAUGUGCCCCUGUUGUCAUGGAGAAAAGCUCAGGAGUGUGUGCCGUGGAAUAUGACUUUACUGCUGGGUGGUGGAUUUGCAAUGGCCAAAGGCUGUGAGGUACCUCAUUAUCUGCUUUUUACUUUUUGGA